CCUACGGGAGGCAGCAGUGAGGAAUAUUGGACAAUGGGCGCAAGCCUGAUCCAGCCAUGCCGCGUGCAGGAAGACGGUCCUAUGGAUUGUAAACUGCUUUUAUACAGGAAGAAACACUCGGACGUGUCCGAACUUGACGGUACUGUAUGAAUAAGCAUCGGCUAACUCCGUGCCAGCAGCCGCGGUAAUACGGAGGAUGCAAGCGUUAUCCGGAAUCAUUGGGUUUAAAGGGUCCGUAGGCGGUCAUAUAAGUCAGUGGUGAAAGCCCAUCGCUCAACGAUGGAACGGCCAUUGAUACUGUUUGACUUGAAUUAUUAGGAAGUAACUAGAAUAUGUAGUGUAGCGGUGAAAUGCUUAGAGAUUACAUGGAAUACCAAUUGCGAAGGCAGGUUACUACUAAUAUAUUGACGCUGAUGGACGAAAGCGUGGGGAGCGAACAGGAUUAGAUACCCUGGUAGUCCACGCCGUAAACGAUGGAUACUAGCUGUUCGGAGCAAUCUGAGUGGCUAAGCGAAAGUGAUAAGUAUCCCACCUGGGGAGUACGUUCGCAAGAAUGAAACUCAAAUGAAAUUGACCGGNNGAGAGNGCGAGGACGACACGAGGGAGGAGG
rnacentral:rRNA from 1 species